rnacentral:rRNA from 1 species
CAGUAGCCGCGGGAAUACGGAGGGCGCGAGCGUUACUCGGAUUUACUGGGCGUAAAGGGCGUGUAGGCGGCCUGGGGCGUCCCAUGUGAAAGGCCACGGCUCAACCGUGGAGGAGCGUGGGAUACGCUCAGGCUAGAGGGUGGGAGAGGGUGGUGGAAUUCCCGGAGUAGCGGUGAAAUGCGCAGAUACCGGGAGGAACGCCGAUGGCGAAGGCAGCCACCUGGUCCACUUCUGACGCUGAGACGCGAAAGCGUGGGGAGCAAACCGGAUUAGAUACCCGCGUAGUCCCUGUCUCUUAUAC